AACGAACGCUGGCGGCAUGCCUAACACAUGCAAGUCGAACGAGACCUUCGGGUCUAGUGGCGCACGGGUGCGUAACGCGUGGGAAUCUGCCCUUGGGUUCGGAAUAACUUCGGGAAACUGAAGCUAAUACCGGAUGAUGACGUAAGUCCAAAGAUUUAUCGCCCAAGGAUGAGCCCGCGUAGGAUUAGCUAGUUGGUGAGGUAAAGGCUCACCAAGGCGACGAUCCUUAGCUGGUCGAGAGGAUGAUCAGCCACACUGGGACUGAGACACGGCCCAGACUCCUACGGGAGGCAGCAGUGGGGAAUUUUGGACAAUGGGGCAACCCUGAUCCAGCCAUGCCGCGUGC
rnacentral:rRNA from 1 species